UUGAGCCGUAUGCGGGGGAACUCGCACGUGCGGUUCUUAGGGGAGGAGAGCUUGUAGAAGCCAUCCCAUCCCAAU
rnacentral:ncRNA from 1 species